GCUGGGUGUGGUGGUGCCCACCUGUAAUCCCUGCAACUCAGGAGGCUGAGGCAAGGGGGCCUCAAGCUCAAGGCCAGCUUCAGAAACUUAGUGAAACCCUCAGCAACUCAGUAGGACCUUUUCUCAA
rnacentral:sRNA from 1 species